rnacentral:ncRNA from 2 species
UGACGAGCCUCUGGAGAGACUCCCCCUGUGGGAGCACCGAAGGAGCAAGCCGGUCGUAGAUCUCCUCCACGACCGGUGAAACUCUCAGGUAAAAGGACAGAGGGCCCUUU